GCUACAUCAGGCUGCAGUGGCAAAGAGCCAUCCUCUAUAAGUGGCUCAAAGUACCUCCUGCCAUCAACCAGUUCCUCCAGGCCCUGGACAGGAAAACAGCGGCUCAGCUGCUUUGCCCACAAGUACAGGCCAGAGACAAAGCAGGAGAAGAAGCAAAGGCUGCUGGCCCCCGCUGAGAAGAAAGCUGCUGGCAAAGGGGACGUCCCAACUAAGAGACCCCCUGUCCUCCGAGCAGGGGUCAAUACAGUUACCACCUUGGUGGAGAACAAGAA
rnacentral:lncRNA from 1 species